CUGAGCCCUUCUGUCCUUAUCCUUUUAAGUAGUGCAGUAGCUGCUGUGCUGCAGAAUUCAGAAGCAGAUUUGAACCAGUUGGUCUCCAGAAAAAAAUCAACAAUUACUCACCAGAACCACAUUCUCCCACUGGAAGUCACUGAAACAUGCUGUGGAGAGCCUUGAAGCUGUCAAAAGCCUUGGGAAAUGGACUUGUCUGAACAAACAAUGGAUUGGUCUUCAAAAGCAAUUACCAGGUAAAAGAUGUCACAAACAAAUGCUCCAAAAGGGCUCUUCACAACCCACAGGAUCCCUCCAGGAACACCCACAACGUGGUGAGCAGCUGGGCUACCACAGGCAGCAUGCAAACCGGCAGGAAGCAACAAUAGCUCUGAAGCCAAGGAGAAAAGAAAAGCUACAGAACCCAGAUCUGUUUUUUCUUCAAAAUUUCAUAGUCAUUGUAUUUUCAAUCUACAGAGAGUACAAAUUUGGAAUUCUCAAAGGAGGAAAAGAGCAGACAAGCUUCUACAAUUUUCAGUGCGCUAUCCCUUCCAGAGUCAAGUCCAUCACACUGCACUAUGUCUGCUGGGAAGCAACACAGCACGCUGCAAGCAAUCCAGAAGAUUCCUGGAGUCUGUUGAAGUUACCUUCCUGGACCAGGAACCAAAAGUGAAGCACUACCGGACCUGGUGCUCACCAAUGCAGGGGAGAUCAUUAAAGAGAUUGAGACUGGAGGCAGUCCGGGCUGUAGCAACCAUGCCCUGGUUGAGUUGAUGAUCUCAAGGAAUGUAGGCCUGGUAAAGAAUGGAGUCAGAUCCAUUAACUUCAGAAAAUCAAACUUGUGGCUGUUCAAGGAAUUAUUGGAUGAGAUCUCCUGAAAGACUGUCCUUAGGGACAAAGGAACAGAGCAGAGCUGGCAGCUCUUUAGGAACAACUUCAUACCCCAGCAGAAGAAAUGAAGGAGAGGAGGCAGGAAACUGGAAGGUCUGAGAAAGGAUUUUCUGGUCAAACUGAUAGAAAAGAAAGAAAAGGGUAGGCAGUUGAAGCAGGUAUGUGUGGCCUGGAAAGAAUACAGGGAUGACAUCUAGAUGUGCAGAGAUGGGAUCAGGAAAGCCAAGGAGCUGAUGAAAUUAAACUUGGCAAGGGAUGCAAAAAAUAACAAGAAGGGAUUCUACAGGUAAAAUGGUCAGAACAGAAAAGCAAAGGAGAGUGUACCCCCUGUGAUAAAUGAGAAAGGAGGACUGGCUUAAACAGGUAUGGAUAAAGCUGAGGUACACAACAAGUACCUCAGUCUUCACUGGCUGUCCCCCUUGUCCCUGAAUCUCUGGAUUGGGGUUUAGGGAACAAAAUUGCUUCCACUAUAAGCAAAGAGCAUGUCAGAGACUGCCUUGUCCUGAAGAAACUGACUGAUGUGAUUGCCAUAUCACUCUCCAGCAUAUUUGAAGUCAUGAUGGUGAUCAGGUAAACUACCCAGUGACUAGAAAAAGGGAAACAUCCCUUCCAUUUUUAUGAAAGGGAGAAACGAAAUCUGGAGAACUACAGGUUGGUGAGCCUCACAUCUGUGCCUGGGAAGAUCACAAAACAGCCUCCUGGAAGCUAUGUUAAGACACAUGCAAGACAAGGAGGUGAUCCAAAACAGCCAGUAUGGCUUCACCAAGAGCAGAUCAUGCCUGGCAAAUCUGAUGGCCUUCUAUGAUGGAGUGAUGGCAUCGGAUGACAAAAGAAGAGUAAUUGAUGUCAUCUACCUGGACUUAUGCAAGCCCUUUGACAUGGUCCCUCAUCACAUCCUUAUCUCUAAAUUGGAGAGAGAUGGAUUUGAAGGGUACACUAUUUAGUUGAUAAAGUAUUGCUUAAUGGUUGCAGCCAGGGUAUUGUGGUCAAUGGCUCUAUGCCCAGGUGGAGGCCACAAGUGGUGUCCCACAGGCAUCUGUCUUGGACUUGCUGCUCUUCAACAUCUUUAUCAAUGACAUAGACAGUGGGAUCAAGUGUACCCUGAGCAAGUUUGCUGAUAAUACCAGGCUGUGUGGUGCAGUUGAUAUAACAGAAGAAAAAGAUGGUAUCCAGAGGGACCAGGACAGGCUCGAAUAGUGGACUCUGGACUCAAGGGAACAUAAUGAGGUUCAACAAAGCAAAGUGCAAGGUGUUGUAUUUGGGCUGGGGCAAUUCCAGAUAUGGGUACAGACUGGGAGAAGAAAUCCCUGAGAGCAGCCCAUGGAGAAAGACUUGGGGGUUGGAACAAGAUGAUCUUUAAUGCCCCUUCCAAAACAAGCUACUUUAUUAUUGAUUCUCAAUGUAUCUUCUUUAAAAAAUUAGUAAGAAUAAGAUUUUUACUGAUGUGUACUAUUUAUAUAUUGGUCAAACAGAAUCCAGGCUUAACGAAUAUAUUUCUGUCUUCUGAAAUAUAGGCACGGUUCAGCAGUUACAUCAGUAUUCAUGAUGGUACUCAGCUCUUUGUAUCUUUUCUUUGUAUCCCUACCAAGAGGACGAUUUUAUAUAUAAUCAUGUAAAUACUCCUUCCUGAUAAAAUCUUCUGGAAAGAAU
ensembl:lncRNA